AAUAAAGUGGAGUACGUUACAUCGCGUUGUAGAGACAAAUUAGGCUCCCUGUUAUGUUAUGACCAAAGUAUUCCACGUGGACCGGUAGAUCGUAAUUCAGUGGGCCAUAGUUAAAGUAUCGACACUAUAUAUGAAUUCACUCUGGAUAUGUUAUUUGUACCACAAAGGUUCUUUAUCAUUUAAUAACUCUAUUACUAAAUUAGUUGUAUUUUGGCAGCGAUCCACGAACAUCAGGUAAAGAAGCCUGACCAGAUUAGAACCUACAACAAUGGGCUUAACAUUACAGUAUCCAAAUAUAGGUACACUUAAACAAAAAUUUGAUAAGAUCAAUCAAUCAUCUAAAAUUUCGUCAUCCUCGUUAUCCAAGUACUGCGCUUCUGUGGUGCUGGAUGGGUCGUAAAAUAGAAGCGUAGAUUGUGUAUUUUUGUCACUCUUUUUCGUUGAUUGUGACAAUUUACGAGCUGGUACUUUUUUCACUUCUUUGCUUCUUUGUGGUGUUCUGGUAUUUUUCUUCGUUAAAGAAGACGGUAAUUCUCGUCGCUUAUUAGUUUUUUUCAAAAGUGCUGGAGAAGGUGUUGCUUCCAUUUCAUGCUCACUCGAAGAAGUCGCUAACGGUGAAUGAUGAUCCAACAGUGAGCUGGUAUGUUUAAGUACAGGUGUGUGCUCAGCAAUAUUUAUAGAAGUUUCUGAUACCUCCUCUGGUAACUCUUCGUAAUCUUUCCGUUUUGUAGUUGAAAUUUUUGGAAGAUCAUUGAUGAUAGAGCUUAUUUCUUGUUCAAGAUUUUCCUCCGUAACUCGUUUUUUAACCAAUAAGUUGAUUUGUUUAUUAAGCUGUGUUUCGACGCAUCUAAUGUAAUCGGUUAGUACGUACGAUGAAAAGAAUUAAACUCACUCUUUAAUAGCAUCUCUGUCGUCUUUUUCAACAAAGUUAACCACCGCUUCACCAAGACUAUCUUCAGGAAGACAUUCUAGCCUAUUUGUUUUUAAGUAUUCGUUUACCAAUGACUCAACUCGAAGAGAGUUAAUUUUGAUAUCUUCUACUGCGGAAGUAUAUAGGCCGUCGUUUCUUUUAGACCCUAAAGUUCGUUAGCAAAUAUUCGGUAAUCAAAAUUUUCUUACUAGUGUAUUUUUUUUUAAGAUAAAAUUGGACAACAUCUGUUGCAUUUGCAACCCUGCCAACAAAUCUAUUAGAAAACCGCUGGGGAUUUUCCGUUUGGUAUCCACCUGUAUAAUCGACACGUAACCGAAUUAAAGGAAGAGGUGGCUUUUCGUUUUCAACCACUGGAACGGUUCCUUGAGCUUCGUACCAUUGUGCAUUUGCUUCAGUAAUUGCCUCUUCAACUUUUGAGAUUAAAUACGUUAAUACUUCCUUUUUAUUUUCCACCAUUGGGGGGAUGGAAGAAACCUCUGAGAGAAUAAUGUCCUUCAUUAUAAAUGGCCGAACCGUUCGCAAACGAAUCUUCUCUAAAUGAAAAUCUUUCCCAGUAAUAUUUAAGAUACCACAAUGCUUGGGUGCAGUUUCACCAGGACUUAAAGAAGUUGCAAUAGUUGAUCCUGGUUGUACCACUGUAAAUUUUUGUGUAGGAUUAUAGCUGCCAUCUAUCAGACACUCGUGUUCGUGUCCCCAUAACACGAAGUCAUAGAAAUCUUGGAUGAAGCUUUCAGGUAAAUAGCUCGUUGGUGUAUGGGCAGAGCUUAAAGCAUUAGUAAAAAAUAUACUUAAUGGUGAAAAGAAAAAAAUAUAUAA
rnacentral:lncRNA from 1 species